rnacentral:rRNA from 1 species
AACGAACGCUGGCGGCGUGGAUAAGGCAUGCAAGUCGAACGGGCUUUAACGGGUGGUAACAUCUGUUAAGGCUAGUGGCGAACGGGUGAGUAACACGUGGGCAAUCUGCCUCGAAGUGGGGGAUAACAUCGGGAAACCGGUGCUAAUACCGCGUAAUAUCCAGGGAUCGCAUGUUUCCUGGAUCAAAGGUGGGGAUCUUUCGGGACCUACCGCUUUGAGAGGAGCCCGCGGUCGAUUAGCUUGUUGGUGAGGUAAUGGCUCACCAAGGCAAUGAUCGAUAGCCGACCUGAGAGGGUGACCGGCCACACUGGGACUGAGAUACGGCCCAGACUCCUACGGGGGGCAGCAGUCUAGAAGCUUCGGCAAUGGGGGAAACCCUGACCGAGCGACGCCGCGUGCAGGAUGAAGGUCUUCGGAUCGUAAACUGCUUUCGCUGGGGGAGAAAUGCCUGGAGGUGAAUAAUCUUCAGGUUAGACGGUACCCAGUAAAGAAGCCCCGGCUAAGUCCGUGCCAGCAGCCG